CGGGUGAGUAUCGCGUGGGUAAUCUACCUUGAGGUGGGGGAUAGCCUCGGGAAACCGAGGGUAAUACCGCAUGAGUCCUCGACGUCAUAAGGCGACGAGGGGAAAGGCGGGGCUCCUUCGGGACCUGUCGCCUCUGGAUGAGCCCGCGUCCGAUUAGCUUGUUGGUGAGGUAAUGGCUCACCAAGGCUCCGAUCGGUAGCCGGCCUGAGAGGGUGAACGGCCACAUUGGGACUGAGACACGGCCCAG
rnacentral:rRNA from 1 species